UACGGAGGAUCCGAGCGUUAUCCGGAUUCACUGGGCGUAAAGCGCAUGUAGGCGGUUGGACAAGUCCUUACUGAAAGCCCCUGGCUCAACUGGGGGAGGCGUGAGGAGACUGUACGACUGGAGGGCAGGAGAGGUCGGUGGAACUCCCGGGGUAGCGGUGGAAUGCGUAGAGAUCGGGAAGAACAUCAGUGGCGAAGGCGACCGACUGGGCUGCACCU
rnacentral:rRNA from 1 species